GCCUUCCUGGUGUAACGGUAGCACACUCGGCUCGUAUUCGAGAUGUCCAGGUUCAAGUCCAGGCGAGAGCC
rnacentral:tRNA from 1 species